CCUACGGGAGGCAGCAGUGAGGAAUAUUGGUCAAUGGGCGCGAGCCUGAACCAGCCAAGUAGCGUGAAGGAUGACUGCCCUACGGGUUGUAAACUUCUUUUAUAAAGGAAUAAAGUGAGGCACGUGUGCCUUUUUGUAUGUACUUUAUGAAUAAGGAUCGGCUAACUCCGUGCCAGCAGCCGCGGUAAUACGGAGGAUCCGAGCGUUAUCCGGAUUGAUUUGGUUUAAAGGGAGCGUAGAUGGGUUGUUCAGUCAGUUGUGAAAGUUUGCGGCUCAACCGUAAAAUUGCGAUUGAUACUGGCAGUCUUGAGUACAGUUGAGGUAGGUGGAAUUCGUGGUGGAGCGGUGAAAUGCUUAGAUAGCACGAAGAACUCCGAUUGCGAAGGCAGAUUACUAAACUGCCACUGACAUUGAUGCUCGAAAGCGUGGGGAUCAAACAGGAUGAGAUACCCUAGUAGUC
rnacentral:rRNA from 1 species